rnacentral:rRNA from 1 species
UACGAAGGGGGUUAGCGUUGCUCGGAAUUACUGGGCGUAAAGGGUGCGUAGGCGGGUCUUUAAGUCAGAGGUGAAAUCCUGGAGCUCAACUCCAGAACUGCCUUUGAUACUGAGGAUCUUGAGUUCGGGAGAGGUGAGUGGAACUGCGAGUGUAGAGGUGAAAUUCGUAGAUAUUCGCAAGAACACCAGUGGCGAAGGCGGCUCACUGGCCCGAUACUGACGCUGAGGCACGAAAGCGUGGGGAGCAAACAGG